UACGUAGGUGGCAAGCGUUAUCCGGAUUUACUGGGUGUAAAGGGCGUGUAGCCGGGAAGGCAAGUCAGAUGUGAAAUCUGGAGGCUCAACCUCCAAAUUGCAUUUGAAACUGUUUUUCUUGAGUACUGGAGAGGAAAGUGGAAUUCCUAGUGUAGCGGUGAAAUGCGUAGAUAUUAGGAGGAACACCAGUGGCGAAGGCGACUUUCUGGACAGUAACUGACGUUGAGGCACGAAAGUGUGGGGAGCAAACAGG
rnacentral:rRNA from 1 species